ACAGUACAUUAGAAACAAGGCAGAAAUUCACUUCAAUGUUUAUUCGUCAAUUUGUAUGUUGUUUUGGUCACAUGUUUUCUGAAGCUGUUGCUGAAUAGUGAAGAAAGAAUCUCAAAGUGAAAAGGUUUACAAUGUGCCAUUUGCUAUCCUAUAGUGGAAUGAUUUUCUUGCAAUAUUAAAAAGUCUCAUCAUA